rnacentral:tRNA from 1 species
GGAAUUAUGCCUGAAUGUUAAGGACCACUUUGAUAGAGUGAACCAUGGGGGUUCAAGUCCCCCUAACUCCU